rnacentral:lncRNA from 1 species
CCCGACGUCCCCGGCGGGGCGGAGGCGUUCGAGCUGGCGGCGAAGUUCUGCUACGGCAUAAACUUCGAGAUAACCACCGAGAACAUCGCGAUGCUGCGAUGCGUCGCGGAGCAUCUGGAGAUGACAGAGGAGUACGCGGUGGGGAACCUGGUGGCGCGAUCGGAGGCCUACAUAAACGAGGUAGCGCUCAAGAGCCUCGCCGGCGCGGUCUCCGUCCUGCAUUCCUCCGAGAACCUCCUCCCCACGGCGGAGAAGGUCAAAUUGGUCAGCCGCUGCAUCGACGCCACCGCGCUCGUGGCGUGCAGGGACUCCCGAUUCGCCUCGCCCGAUCCGUCCGCCGGAGCCGCCGCGGCCGCCGAUUGGUGGGCGGAGGAUCCACCGUGCUGCGGAUCGAUCUCUUCCAGCGAGUCCUCAUCGCGAUGAUGNGUCCCCGGCGGGGCGGAGGCGUUCGAGCUGGCGGCGAAGUUCUGCUACGGCAUAAACUUCGAGAUAACCACCGAGAACAUCGCGAUGCUGCGAUGCGUCGCGGAGCAUCUGGAGAUGACAGAGGAGUACGCGGUGGGGAACCUGGUGGCGCGAUCGGAGGCCUACAUAAACGAGGUAGCGCUCAAGAGCCUCGCCGGCGCGGUCUCCGUCCUGCAUUCCUCCGAGAACCUCCUCCCCACGGCGGAGAAGGUCAAAUUGGUCAGCCGCUGCAUCGACGCCACCGCGCUCGUGGCGUGCAGGGACUCCCGAUUCGCCUCGCCCGAUCCGUCCGCC